UACGUAGGGUGCGAGCGUUAAUCGGAAUUACUGGGCGUAAAGCGUGCGCAGGCGGUUCGUUGUGUCUGCUGUGAAAGCCCCCGGGCUCAACCUGGGAAUGGCAGUGGAAACUGGCGAGCUGGAGUGUGGCAGAGGGGGGUGGAAUUCCGCGUGUAGCAGUGAAAUGCGUAGAGAUGCGGAGGAACACCGAUGGCGAAGGCAGCCCCCUGGGCUGACACUGACGCUCAGGCACGAAAGCGUGGGGAGCAAACAGG
rnacentral:rRNA from 1 species